AAGGAUCAUUAUCAUUCGUGAUAGCAACCUCUGUGGCUCGAGGCAGGCUGCUCGUUCAGUCCUGUCAAGAGCGCACAUGGCGGGUGCAGUAGCGGCCGUUUCACGCGGUAAGGCUCGCAAGAGCCUGUACGCACUGCAUGUCUGAAUCCUUAUCUCUAUACGUACUUCUUGUUCUCCUUCGGUGGGGUGACCUGCCGUUGGAACCGAAACAACACCCUUUUGCAUCUAGCAUUACCUGUUCUGAUACAAAUAAUCGUUACAACUUUCAACAAUGGACCUCUUGGCUCUGGCAUCGAUGAAGAACGCAGCGAAAUGCGAUAAGUAGUGUGAAUUGCAGAAUUCAGUGAAUCAUCGAAUCUUUGAACGCACAUUGCGCCCCUUGGUAUUCCAUGGGGCAUGCCUGUUCGAGCGUCAUCUACACCCUCAAGCUCUGCUUGGUGUUGGGCGUCUGUCCCCGCCUCUGCGCGUGGACUCGCCCCAAAUUCAUUGGCAGCGGUGUCUUUUUGCCCCAGUCUUGCGCAGCACAUUGCGCUUGCAGAACUGUGGCGGCCCGCGAUCCAGCAAGCUCCUUUCACCGUCUUUGACCUCGGAUCAGGUAGGGAUACCCGCUGAACUUAAGCAUAUCAAUAAGCGGAGGAAAAGAAACCAACAGGGAUUGCCCUAGUAACGGCGAGUGAAGCGGCAACAGCUCAAAUUUGAAAUCUGGCCCUCUUUGGGGGUCCGAGUUGUAAUUUGCAGAGGGUGCUUUGGCAUUGGCGGCGGUCUAAGUUCCUUGGAACAGGACAUCGCAGAGGGUGAGAAUCCCGUACGUGGGCGCCUGCCUUUGCCGUGUAAAGCCCCUUCGACGAGUCGAGUUGUUUGGGAAUGCAGCUCUAAAUGGGAGGUAAAUUUCUUCUAAAGCUAAAUACCGGCCAGAGACCGAUAGCGCACAAGUAGAGUGAUCGAAAGAUGAAAAGCACUUUGGAAAGAGAGUCAAAUAGCACGUGAAAUUGUUGAAAGGGAAGCGCUUGCAGCCAGACUUGCCCGCAGUUGCUCACCCAGGCUCCGGCCUGGGGCACUCUUCUGCGAGCAGGCCAGCAUCAGUUUGGGCGGUUGGAUAAAGGCCUCUGUCACGUAUCUCCCUUCGGGGUGACCUUAUAGGGGAGGCGCAAUGCAACCAGCCCGGACUGAGGUCCGCGCAUCUGCUAGGAUGCUGGCGUAAUGGCUGUAAGCGGCC
rnacentral:rRNA from 1 species